rnacentral:misc_RNA from 1 species
GAGCUACUUCAGGUUGACGGUGCAGACGGUUCUGUCUGUUUUUGCACAGCCUCAAGGGUGUUCUCGACGUGGCAGCUUUCCCUCGAAACCAUCUUUAGCUGCUUACACACGCAGCCGCGCCCAUCUCAGCACCGAAAAAUUCACGACGUCCCCACAUAACGCGGCCUGAUUUUAGUCUCUAACAUGUCCACAUACGACAAAUCAGAUCAGAUCGGCUAUGAUGAGACGGAUAAUACGUUGAAUGCCGAGCUGGAAGAAAUGAUGGCGCGCACCCCACCGGAGGUGCAGCGCCACCUGCAGCACCGCAUUCAUGAUGGCAUCCUGCAGCGCAUGAAAGAGGAGACGACACGCAAGUGCAUUACGUUCAUCCAAAAGUAUGAGCAGUGUGUGAACAGCCAAAAGCCGUACAACAUGAAGCUAUGCUAUCCCCACCGGGAUGCUAUGAAUGGGUGCGCGCAGGAGGUUAACCGGGAGGAAAACUACCAACGUUACCGCAUCAUGUACCUCCGUGGCGAGCUGCUUAGGUACCAUGAGAAACGUAUUGCCGGCAAGAUGGAGGCAUUCAAGGUGAAGGCUCCCGACGCGAUCCGUGGGUGGAAGCACGACUACGCACCCAAGUAUAUGCACAUGAUGGAGGAUUUGGGGGCGGCGCCUCUCGGCAAUGCCGUGGGGACGGCGGAGGAAACCACAAACUCGAAGUAGGACCCCCCUUGUUUUGUCUUGUCGCAGCUGUGCUUCUCAGGACCACGCUUUUUCCUUCGCCUGCGGUGGCGGCGAACCACGCAAGUGAGCAUGCCGGAUGCAGCGCUCCGUCAGCUUUUCGUUUUCUCCCUGCUCUGAUCGUCACCGCUCUGCCACGUGCAUGCAGCACCCUUGGCGCCCCAAUGAGGGUACGCCAUCACCGACAGGGAAAGAAAGCGAGGAAGCGAUGAAAACGUGCAAACAACCGAAAAAAGAAUCCUCAUAAACUUUCGCGCGCGCACACCCACAUACACACACAUCGCCACACAGCCGCCCCUCCAUCAUGCCGGUCGCCACUCCCCCCACCUCCUCCCUGGGUGCGUCUCCCCGUCGCGGUGACACUCAGGCCCCCGCACCCCUCGCCGUGGGCCAGUGUGAGGGGCCGGCUGCGACACGCUCGAGCCGCGCUGACACGCUCCGCCCAUCGCAUGGACGGUGCAAGCCUGUGCUCACUGUCGCGGGUGGCUCGGACGCAGCGCCAUGCACGACAUGGCCGCCGGCAUCCGUGGCGCUACGUCGCGCCGACCUCGCCCAACGCCGUAAGGGCCCAGCCCUGUCAGCACCAGAAGUGGUUCGGCGUUGGCAGGGAUAGAGGGUGAGGGGGCUGCCGGGCUUCCGCACACAGAGAGAGCGGGGGUGGAGGGGGGGCGCUGGACCCUGGGAUGCCACGCUGAGGUUUAUCCCGUCACUGGGGGCGCGCCAACACUUAGAGCAUCCAGCAAUGGGUUGUUUGGAUGUGCCUCGUAUGACUGAGGUGCAGUAUCUUGGAGCAGCGUGGUCCCUUCACGCCACGGCUCCUCGCGGUAGGUGACGUGUCCUUGUUUCGAUGUCCGACACGCCAGCGCUCAAAUGUUAUGCCUCCUCCUCCUCUUCGCUGUAUCUGCCGCCUCCUCACUGCCAUGUUUUCGUAG